CGGAGGUCUGAGAAGGUUUAGCAGCCGGUGCGGUGCUGUUCCAAACUGGUUACAACCUCCAACAUCAACAGACAAACCAUCAGUGAACAAGCUCGGAUGACGUACGCUGAGCUGGGAUCGUAUGUGUUUGUCAACAUGUU